rnacentral:rRNA from 1 species
AGUGAACGCUGGCGGUAGGCCUAACACACGCAAGUCGAACGGCAGCACAGUAAGAGCUUGCUCUUACGGGUGGCGAGUGGCGGACGGGUGAGGAAUACAUCGGAAUCUACUUUUUCGUGGGGGAUAACGUAGGGAAACUUACGCUAAUACCGCAUACGACCUACGGGUGAAAGCAGGGGAUCUUCGGACCUUGCGCGAUUGAAUGAGCCGAUGUCGGAUUAGCUAGUUGGCGGGGUAAAGGCCCACCAAGGCGACGAUCCGUAGCUGGUCUGAGAGGAUGAUCAGCCACACUGGAACUGAGACACGGUCCAGACUCCUACGGGAGGCAGCAGUGGGGAAUAAUGGACAAUGGGCGCAAGCCUGAUCCAGCCAUACCGCGUGGGUGAAGAAGGCCUCCGGGUUGUAAAGCCCUUUUGUUGGGAAAGAAAAGCAGCAGGUUAAUACCCCGCUGUUCUGACGGUACCCAAAGAAUAAGCACCGGCUAACUUCGUG